CCAUGACCCUAAGACUAAAAAAACAAUGGCUCCUCCUUGGGUCUCCAGCUCCAUGACCUUAAAACAAGAACAAUACCACUCAUCCCCAGGUCUCCAGGUACACGCCCUGAAAACUAGAACAACACCGGCUCCUCCCUGAGUUUCCAGCUCCACGAUCCUUAAACUAGAACAACAGCGCUCCUCCCUAGGUCUGCAGCUUCACGACCCUCAAACUAAAAAAACAGCGGCUGCUCCCCGGGUCUCCAGCUCCACGACUCUCAAAUUAGAAUGAAACUGGCUCCUCCCCAGGUCUCCAGCUUCACGACACUCAAACCAGAACAACAGUACCAGCUCCUCCCCGGGUCUCCGGCUCCACGACCCUCAAACUAGAACAACACCGGCUCCUCCUCGGAUCUCCAGCUCCAUGACCCUCAAAGAAGAUCAACACCGGCUCCUCCCCAGGUUUCCAGCUCCAUGUCCCUCAAACUAGAACAACAGCACCAGCUCCUCCCCAGGCCUCCAGCUCCAGGACCCUCAGACUUGAACAGCAGCAUCAGCUCCUCCCCAGAUCUUUAGCUCCACAACCCUCAAACUAAAACAGCAUCACCAGCUCCUCCCUGGGUCUCCAGCUCUAUGACCCUCAAACUACAACGGGAGCACAAGCUCCUCCCUGGAGCCCCAGUUCAAUGACUCUCAGACCUGAAAGGCAGCAACACUCUUCCCCAAGGCUCCAGCUCCAUUACCCUCAGAUUUGAACAGCAGUAGCAUCAGCUCCUCCCUGGGUCUCCAGCUCCUCAACCCUCAAACUAGAACAGCAGCACCAGCUCCAUCCGGAUCUCCAGAUCCAUUACCCUAAUACAUCAGUGGGUUCUUUCCCGGUGCUCCAGUUCCAUGAUACUCAAACUAGAACAGCAGCACCAGCUCCUCCCUGAGUCUUCAGCUCCACGACCCUCAAACUAGGAGAACACCAGCUCCUCCCCAGGUCCCCAGCUC
rnacentral:lncRNA from 1 species